UACGAAUAAAUAAAUAGAUAAAUAAAUAAACAUAUAUAUAUUUAAAUGAUGAAAUAUUUUUUAAUAGUAAAACAAUUGGUUAAAAAUAAUUUGAAGAGAACCAUAAUAAUAAUGAUAAUGAUAAUUCGUACAUAUAGAUGUGUACGUAAUAUAUUGAUGAGUAAAUGAAAUAGGUAAUAAAAUAGUAAAAUGAGAAAAAAAAGAAAAUAAAAGACAAGAGAGAAAAGUCGAAAUCACCGGAGCAGAAAAGUUGAUGCCAAACUCGAUUCACGAUGAACAGAUAAAAAAAAUAGAAUAUAAAAAAAGAAAAUAAUAGUGAUAAUAAAACAAGAUACAUCGAUCAUUCCAUUUCGAAAUUGUGGUUUUUUUUCGCUUUUUCUGUCAUUAAGUUUUUUUGCGAAUCUUCGCGAUCAUGUAUGUAUGUAUAAAUUUCAAAUUCGUUCGGUGAGAAAUGGGCAAAUUUCUACCUUCGAUCAUCAUUAAAGAAGAAGAAACUAGGUAGAAAAGUGAUGAAGGAAAGAAGAAAAGAAAAGAUUAAAAUAAAAAUUAAAUGACAAAAAAAUGUGUUCACAAGCACGCAAUAUUAGAAAAUUGUAAUUUUUAAUUUUUUCAAACGUUCUAUAUGUGUUACUUUUUUUUCUUUAUUCACGUGUGAUCUGUACAUCGUAGGUAUACUUAAAUUAAUUAGAAAGAAGAAGAACAUACAAAAAAAGAACAGAAAAGAAAACAAGAAAAGAACAUCAGUUUGUCAAAUAAAAAAAUAAAUUUGAUAAUCAAAUAUUAUUAUGAACAAACAGAAAAGACAAAUACCAAUAUAUAAUGUACAUACUAUGUGUUAUGGAAACGAUGAAACCAAUGGGUCUUGUGCAAGUUAUGUGAUUAUUUAAGAAAAAAAAUUAUUAAAUCAUGAAAUAAAUAAAUAAAGAAACGAAAGGAAAAACAACUUUCUCAAUUCGUUGAUUUAUUUAUUCAUUUAUUUAUCUAUUAAUUUAUUCUUAUUAAUUUUUUUCUUGUUUUCGAAUAAAACAUUGAUAAUGAUGACAAAAAGAAAAUAAAAAAAUAUACAUAUAUUUAUUACACACAAAAAAAUAUACAUAUGUAUGUAAAAUAUCAUAUGUACUUAUAUUCGUGUAAUAUUACCUAUUAUUGUUAUUAUUAUUGUUAUUAUUAAUAUUGCAACAUUAUCGUAUUAAAUUUUGAACGAAAAAGAAACGAUGAAGAACAAAAAACUUGAUUUUCGUUCAAUACUAAAAAUGAAAUCAAUUGAAUCGUAUUUUCUUUGUAUAUUCGUUUCAAAUUUAGGACAUCAUUAUUGUUAUUAAAAACACGAUACACUCUCCCUAUAAGCAUAUGUACAUACAAGGCAAAUAGAAAGUAAUGGGCGUUGAUGAAUGAAAAAUUACGACUAAAAAAAAAGGAAGUAAAAAUCAAACGAAUGAAACAAUAGGAAAUGUGAAAAAAUUCAGGCUCUCUGAUACGCGUGGAUUUCAAUUAUAACACGGUUGGCGUUCGAAAUGAGUAUAAUAUUAGUAAUAAUGUCAACCACAACAAUAAUAAUAGUAAUAAUAAUUAUAAUUAUAAUGCCAAUAAUACUAAUCGUCAUGAGUGUUAAUCAAUUAACGAACGAUCAUAAAUUGUUAGUUAAUUUUUGAAAGUUUGAUUAUUAUAAUAUGUAUAAAAUUAAUCGAGGAUCGAAACGGGUUCAGAAAUUUUGUAUUAAAUUUCAAAAACAAUAAUAAUAAUGAAAAUAUGCAAUGUAAAAUCAACGCGCACACGUAUUGAACUAGAAUGAAAAAGAAAAAAUUAGAGGAAAAUGGCAAAAAAAUCGUAAGAAAAGAAAAAUCGAAUUAUAAUGUUAAUAUAUCAUUCAAUAAUCAUUGUAUAGUUGAAUGUCUCUUGUCUCUUUCAUUGAACGCUUAUGUUUAGCGCGUGUAGAUCAAAUUAAAAUUAUUAGAGAUGAAAAAUAAAUAAAUUAAAUGAAUAAUAAAUCAAUCAAUCGAUAAUGAACUAUGGAGACACAAAAUAAGAAGAGAAACAUGCAAAAAUGGUAAGGAAGGAAAUAUGGAAGCAAAAAAAAAAGGAUACGAAAAAAUACGGACAAAAUUUUGUAAAAGAAAGUUAUUUCCGAUGUAUAAAAUAAUAUGCGAUUGAAAAUAACGUGUUACAAAACUUCUACAUGAUGUGAGAGAACAUAUGGAAGCAAAAAUAAUUCAAAACGACUGUUGUAUUAAAUUAAAUUAUUUAUGGACUUAUAAAUUAAUUAAUUAAUUAAUUAACUAUUGAUUAUCAUUACUAUAUUGUUCAUAUAUUAUUAUCAUAUAUGUAUGUGUUUAUUAUUUAUAUAUUUAAUGUAAUUAUAAAAUUAGACGAUCGAAGGAGGAAAAUACCUAUAUUUGAAGAAAAAAAAACAGAAAAAACCGAAAAAAAAUAUGUACAUAUAGAAAAAUGACAUUGAUUCGUAAUUAAAACUGUUGGACUAGAACAAAAAUAAAAUAGAAUUAACAAGUUAUUGAAGAAUAAAAAUGAAAAUUACGAUUCGUAUUUCAAUCAUAUAUACAAUAUACAUAUUGUAUUCGAAUUAUUAAAAUUGAAAAUUAAAUGAGACGAAUGGAUGAAUAAAUAAACGACGAAAAAAUACAUCAUAUUACUCUAUAUAGAUAAAUUUGUUGAAACGAAGAGAUAAAACGAAGAGAAAGGAAAUGAGAAUAAUAAUAAAGAAAUAAAAAAAGGAAAGUAAAAAUCUGCACAUGUAAAUUGUUGAUCGAUAUUAUUGUCUAUUAAAAAUGGAAAAAAGUCGAAAACGAAAAAAAUCAGAAACAGAAAAGCAAAAGAAAUACGUAUUGUAUACAUAUUAAUUAACUAUUAUAGUCUCACGCUAUUUAGUAAUUAAAUUUCAUGCACAGAUUAUCUAACCUGCACGCAGAGACUGAUGAAUGAAAUAUAAAAAUGAAUGAUGAUGAUGAUGAUGAUGACGAUGAUGCGAAAUGUGAAAAUCAAAAUUCAGUGUCGUUAUUCUUAUAUAAAUGAAGGGUAAGGACACAGUGGCUUAUUAUAUACAUAUUCUUAUGUAUAAAUGUUUUUAUUCUGUAUAAUUGGUAUACAUAUAGAAAUUGUUUGAUUUUUUUCUAAUAUACAUAUGGGGGAUGCAAUGGCCAAAAUGAAUGAUGAAAUUCCAAUAUUUCAGAAUUAUAAAUAAAGAGAAAAUUCAAAACGCAAAAGAAAUAAGAAAAGAAUGAUGAGAUUGGAUAACUAUAUUUUGUCUUUCUUUUACUCUUAUUCACAUACUUAUGUAUGUGAAUGUGAUUAGGUUGCUUCUAUACAUAUAGAUAACUAUAAACAUUAUUAUUUUUCUCCUGAAUUUUUCAUAUUAGAAAAAAAAAAUAUUUUAUACAUAUUUUAAUAGUAUAGAAUUCAAGUGCAGUUUUUUCUAUUAGAUAUUCUAAAAAAAUGAACUAAAAAAAGAAAGAAAAAUAUGCUGAUGACACAAAGAACGAUAUAUUGAAACUAUAUAUAUACACAUACAUAUACCUAUACUAUAUGUAUAUAUAUAAAUAAUUUUAAAAAAGUUAGCGAUUCCCGCUAAUAAUUUCGAAUAAAAAUUCAAAUCAUCCCUUCAUUUGGGUACAGCUUGUGCUGGUUUCCAGAAUCAUCUUGUGACCUUUUUUUUCACUAAUAGAAGCUGAUUCCAGUCCGGUCGGUAAGUCGUGUGAAAGUUUGAAUGGGAAAAAAAACCGACGCAAUUUAUACGAAGAAAAAGAUUCAAAUAUUGAAAUAAUUUGGUUAAUAUGUACAUAAAUAUGUAUAGCCAAGGAGAAAACGAUUUUUUGGUCUCUUUGGAAUCAUGAAAUAACAUUAGGUAAUUUAAUUACGACUAUUUUCUUCACUAUUUCCUGUAGACCCACGAUUUGAUUUAAACGAGUUCAAAUAUUGCACUUGCAGCUAAAUUCACUGUGUGUUUGAAACUUCAAUAACCGAGAAUUCCCUUACGUUAUCCUCUUGGUGGAAAUUCUCUGUGAAGUUUAAUCGACACGUUACAGCCCAGUCAUCAGUCGAGUAAAUAGGUUGAGGACUUCAAGUCUUAACAGAUUUUAACCAUCGGAAGUCUCGUGAAUUUCGCAACCAGGAAACCAGAGCAAAGCGUCGGUUUCGCUCGUUAAAUCUAGUUGAUUUACGUCCCAAAAACCAGACUACAAUUUCAAAUCUCAACCGCCUGUCGCACGUAUGACAGUUACGACAGGCUCUCAACGAAUAUUAAGUUUAACAUGACGGGAGACACGAAAGCUACAUGUAAAAAAAGAAUUAAGGAAUAAGAAAUAGUAUGGCUGAUAAGGAAUAUCCGUCAAGUGCAUGUGGAAUCGCAAACGUUUACGUAUUGUGAGAGUGUGUAGCUGUGAAACAUGACGUCGUGAAAUCAAAAUUCGAAAAAACCACAAAGAUAUUCAUGCAUAUAGUGUCUGGAGGGCGUCCGAUGGCUGCAAGAUACAAGAAUUCUCAGCUGGCGUUUUUCCAGCCUGGUUUGUUUUGCCUUUGGAAUAAAUAUUAUCCCUGAAUCGGAGGGCGUUUCCGCUGAAACUGAAUUUAUACGUUGGACGUAUCUAAAACCGUAUUCUCGAUCCAGCAAGGCAAAGUUUUCACCGCCGCCGUUAUGAUGCUCUCUCCCUCUCAUAAGUUUUAUAAUCUAACCGUAGGGAAAACUAGAUCACAAGCUCGAUCCAGAUAUUACAAAAUCAAAAAAACAGGAAUGAAAAGAACAUGAGGGGAAAAAAAACGAGAGAAAAAGCAUUUCUCUCGUGGAGCUUGUAUUAUUAGACUUGCAUCGUUCUCUUGAACAAGGAUCUGAUGACAGUUGAGAAAUCAACGCCUCCACAGAAGCCGAACUACGACGACGACUGUCAACAUCGGUAGAUAGCGAGAUAGCUUUGGUGGAAUUUCAAAAUUGAAAAAAAAUCUGAGGAUGAUAUCCAAUGAGGCGAGGGAAAGAGGUACGUAACUAUAGGUAUACGAUCUACAGCGAAACAGGAAACGUGAAAUUUCUAACGUCAUUCGGUUAUAAAUAAUUAACAAAUUUUAUAUGGGCACCUAAAUCUUUACGGACGAUUUGAUUUUCCGAUUCGACCCCUCUGGAUCUGAUGUACGGCUAGAUAUACCCACAUGCAUGAGACAUAACUAUAAAAUGCGAUCGGAGGACAGAAGUUUCGGGAGUUUGAAAUGACAUAGUAGUUUUUUGGAAUCUUCAUCCCACGUUUUAAAUAAUGGACCUUCGGGACUCAUUGCACGGGCAACACGUGCCACCAAUUAGGAGCGAACUAUUAAAGCGCAGGUAAUGUACGUGUGUUAUAGCCACGUGGUGAAUACCCGUCAAAUAGAAGCGAGGAUAGAAGAGGAAGGAAAAGGAGGAAAAUGGAAAAAUGAAAACGAAACGGCUGCUCAUAUUUAAACCUGAAAACUAUACGGUCGGGCUAUUUUCGAAUUUUAGUCGGUUCCACGAUUUAGUUUGCUUGCCAGUCCGUAAAGCAGAUCGUAAAAUUUUCAUAUAUGGAAACAUGACCACGCUUACGCCUUUGAGAGGUUUUCUCUAUCUCAGAAAAAAGACGAGAUCUGCAAUCGCAGCAUAUGAAAUUUCGUGUUGAUCGGUGAAUAAUAUCGCGAGGAUAAAACGAACAGAAAUCACGUCUUCUGAUGCAGUUAUUAAUCGCAGUAAGAGUCAAAAUUCUGAGUAACAUCCCCGUAACUUUGAUAAAUGGGACGGUUAUUUGAAUGGAAACCAUAUCAAUCGUUGCGUGUUACAACUAUAGGAUAAUUGAUGCUCAAGUUUCCGGAUUUAUACUUUCCAGUAAUAGACGUAGAUCGCCCCACCCCUUAAGAUUCUGCCACCGUAAUUCUUUGACUAUUUUUAUUCCGUUCCUUUGAUUUUCCUUUAUUUUUCUCAGCUAUAAUUUUUCUUGUUUUCGUAAAGAUUUGUUCGUCAGGACGGGCGUCGCGACUCUGUGCUCUGGAAAAAUAACGGAAGAAAGAAAGAAAGAAAGAAAGAAGAGCGGAGUUCUUCUUGGCCAUAUUUUAUCGGGCGCAAUCUGUUUGGUGUUAACUGGCUUGGUAGCAGUCUUUCGACACCGCUAAGAAGGACCCUGUCGAAGGAGAAAACUAGAACUCGAAGCCCAGCGGAGCUUUUGUAAUACAAAAUAGGAGAACGAAACGAAACGAAACGUAACGGUACGGAACGGAAUGGAACGGAAGGUAAAGGAACGACACCACGAAUCGCAGUAACACUCUCUUUCUCUUACUCUCCCACAUUCGGAUCUUCACUAUUUUUGGAACGCGCAGGAGAGGUAAUAUUUCUGUUGGCAGUAGGUUUCUCCGGCGCAAACCCAAGAAUAGAAAGAACACGUUAAAGUUAUGCCUCGUUGAGACUGAAAAAGAACUUCAGAUUCAGGAUAAUUCGGAAACAGGACCUUCGAAUUACGCACAUCGUUUAUUCACUUUCCUUAUUCAUUUCUUCCUCAGACAGAACCGGAUAUUCUUCAUCGCGAUUCGCCCCGCCGGUUGAAUGAAGAGGGAAAAGAAUGUCGAAGAAAAAUAAGAAAACGAAGAAGAUGAAGAAGAAGGAACGGCUUCUAAUCUUCCGUCGUUAUUAUACGUGUACGCCUUCUUUUUAGAGCUAAGUUUCUUUUCUAUUUUCCGUCUUGUUAAUCUGAUGGUACAUUUUGAAAAAAAAAAAUUUCUUCAUUUCUGAUAGCCCAGAGACUGUAAGACCCUCUAAGCUAUGGAUAUGUGUUUUUUGUUGUUCGCGUAUAGGUAUCGUUAUAGUUGCUGUGUUUACAUCUAUUUCCGUGCUCCGAGAUUCCUCAUCUUGGAAUUAGACCUGUACCACCGAUGCUUAUAAAUCAAGAUGAUCUUUUUUUAACGACUGGCUUUAUCAGGACGACGAUAUACACGCUGGUUAUAAUGUAACUUCGCUAAGCUGUUGGAUAAAUCGCCUCCGCAAUUCGUAGCCUGAAUUCACGGUAUGACGCCAAUGACGCUUGAAAAGCUCUCACGGAAUUUGUAAAUAUUUCGUGGUCCGCUUAAAUAAAGCACACUGAAUGCGUCAUAGCAACCAACGUCGAUGUAAAACCCGCGUACGCCUGCACCUAUCCGUUGAUGUUAUAAGUGAGGCCUGAAUCAGCCCAGAUUCUUUAUUUUUCAUUUUAUUAUUAUCUUUACCCACAUUCUAUUUUUUUUCCUCAUUCUCUCCCAAUUACACUAAUCACUUUUUCUAUUUUCUUUCAAGAUCGUGCUGCCAACACCCCAUGUCGAGCACUUUGGUAAAAGUUCUUUCUUCAACGCAGCGAAGAUGAAUUAUCCAGCUGCUACUUGCCCAUUUAGCAUAUGGAAAAGAUUUGGAUUUUGACAGAACUUAAGACUUGAAUUCUUUGAACUUUAAUCCUUCUACUCUUGUCGAGCGAUCAACUGAUCAAUUUGUUCUGGCUUCCGAGGAUCGGUUGGUCCAUUGUGUGAAUAGAAAUAAUGGAAAGACGGAAUGGGAGAUCAAAGAGGAAAUAUAAUCCCUCUUGAGUAAAGAGGUGGAUUAAUUUUAGUGGAGAGCAUUUUUUCAAACUCUUUGAGGUAAUUUUUCUUUCAGUUGAUGUUUUUCUAUUUCGUUUAAGUAACAGUCACCGAUGACUGGAGAAAUGUCAGAGAGCGGUUGCCAGAGUGGUAAUAUUGGUUAACCGGAAGUAGAAAACGUGAAUUAACGACUGACAUCUGCAAUUCUGUAGUCAAUGGUCUUUUUUCACUCUACAAGAAUGUUUAUCUUUGGCUCUUGGGAGUUUAGAAAUAUAAGCAUUGGAAAAUUAAGCGAGCCGCUACCAAUAUUUCUUCUAGUUCAAACAUGUCUUCCAUCACAUGUAUGAACCCGUUAAGAUUCAGAAUCUUUCACUGGAAAGGGGAAAUCUAAGGGAAAUUUAUUUCCAGUUAAAUUAAUAAAUCCGAGUGUUUUAUUUAGACAAACAGCCGAAAAUCCAGGCGUCAAAGGCCUUUGUAAAAAUGAAAAUGUCUUCUUCAGACCAUAUCGCCAACAAAUUUAAUUCUCUCCCAAUCAGCGAUGAAUACUCAGCUUCCAAAUGGGUUUAAUAAAAAAGAACAAAAUUGAA